rnacentral:lncRNA from 1 species
UGUUUUCUGAACUGUUGGUGUUUUCAAGCAAAAGUUUUUAGGACAUUUGUAUUGUACUCAAUAAACAGUACCCUAUCCAAGAGUUCAUUAAUGUGGUCAACUACAAUAAUUACGGGGUCACUUUAGAAUUAGAACAAAGUGACAGCAAACAUGUGCACUUUUUGGACGUGUGGAUUAGGAAAGAAUGUGACUUUUAUUUCACAACGAUAUUCAGAAAAUCCUCUUUGGCACCAGUUCAUAUUCACCCCCAAUCCUACGAUCCCCAUACAUAAAAUAAUCCAGGACGUUAAGCUUAAAUUUUACGUCAAAAAAGAUUCCCUACCGACAAAAAACAACAGCACGGCCAAGGUAGGCAUUUUUAAAGGUUCCCAG